GUUUUAAUUUUAUCAAUACUUUACAUUCGUACUUUUCAAGUAUAAUUUUGUUGGAACAAUGGGCAAAUCAUACUCACGCCCCUCUUUGCACUCACCAGCCGGCGCUCAUGCCAUUUGUGAAAUCAUUGUUAGAGUUGAGAACAAACGAUAGUUGAAUUUCAAAGCUCACCACCUAUCUCGCUUGCACUUUAGUUGAAAGCCAAUUGUCGCGAAAUUCUGUUGUAAUUAUUGUGAAAAUGAAUUUACCAAUUUUUGAAAUCAAAAUUUCACAACGAGCCCUAAACGUGAUAUGGUGUAAUUUGCAAAUGCCGAAAUGUUUGUAUUAUAAAAGUUGGAUUAUCACAGCGAUGGGACAGUGCAAAUUCAACUGUGAAAAGCAAAGUUAUUAAAUAGUUCGUUACGAAAAAAAAGUAAAACAAAAGCAUCUAAAAUGAAAAACAAAAGAAUCGAACCUAAUCUCGUCAUUCUGGCUGAAAAAUACAAUGUCAAAAAGAUGGUCUGCCGUAAGUGCUACGCUCGACUGCCGCCUAAGGCCACCAAUUGUCGCAAGAAGAAUUGCCACUCAACUGAUCUGCGCCCUAAAAAGGAGUUGAAAGACUUGAAAGGUUAAUACAAAAAAUUCCGCGUCUUUUUUUAUCGAUAUAUUUAUAUUUGUCCUGAAUGUAAAUAUAUAUCCACCUGAAUACAAGCAGUAAUUUUAAUUUUUUAUAUUAUAUUUAAUUCUUAUUGUACAAUUAAUUUUAUACAGAGAAAAGAUAAA